GUCAGGUGUGGUAUAAAAGUAUAGUUUUUUUAAAUACUUCAUCCAAAGUGCUGUGCAAAUUGCAUCACUUGGAAAGCGCAUUGACAUUUAUUAGAGCUCCAACUCAGGAAAUGACAUCAGCAAGGUGUAACUGAAAAAAUUCUGUAAUGAUUUUUGCAAAAUGUUGUUAAGAAGUGUACAGGAAACUUUAUGAGCCAUAUAUCAUCUCACAUAACCAAACGAACGAUGCUCAUAAACUUGUGCACUGUUGUUCUCAUAAUGAUCCAUGGUAAGUAAAGUUUACACGGUAAGUAAACUUUAAAGGCGGUUAAAUAGAUUAAAAUAGGUUAAUACAUUAAUAAAAUAACCAUGAAUACUUGAUACUUGAAUGAACUGAUUUUUUUUUAUUUAUUUCAUCAUAGGUGUGGGAAGUUUAAGCUUAAAACAACCUCAAAAGGUCUUGGUGAAGCAAAAAGGUAAAUCUGUGUCCUUUAAAUGUGAGGUAAAAGACUUGGGCUCUAGUAAUUAUGUCCACUGGUACCAUAAAAAAGAUGGUGAAACUUUUAAAAGACUGCUGUACAUAAGCCAUUCUGGGAUUGCUACAAAUGAAGCAAAAGACAUUGUCUCUGAAAAAAAUGGAAAUUCAUAUGGCAUAAAACUCAAAGAAACAAAGGAGGAACACGCUGGGAUGUAUUACUGCGCCUGCUGGGAUGGCAGCCACAGUGAGAGAACACUUUAACAUCUUUUACAUAAACCAUGAGAGACUGUUGUGCCACAAAAGGAUCUUUGCCAAAAUCUAACUAUUAUAAGCCACAUGCAGUAUUGACUGUCUGACAGAUACUCUCGGAGAAGAACCACAAAAUAGUGCGGUAUGGGGUAGCAAAUGUGAUUGCAGAUAGCAAAACCAAAAAUAUAGGGUAGAAUGAUGGUUACUUUACGAAAUGUAGUGGAAACAUGCUGUCAGACUCUGUUCCAUGUUUUGUCUGUGUCUUGCUCCCCAGGUGUUCCUUUCCCAUGUUUAAUUUGUCCCAGGUGUUCCCCAUGAUGGUUCAUGGAUCCCAGGUGUGUCUCGUCAUCCCCUCCUCCUGUGUGUAUUUAAAGUGUUCCCAGUCUCUAGUUCUCUGUCUGCUGUUGAACGUCUUCCUGUGUUCGUCUCCCUUGGUUCCUUGGUGCAAAUAAAGUCUUGUCAACAUAUUCUCCAGCGUCUCCUCGUCCCUCGUGUGUGUGUGUG
rnacentral:lncRNA from 1 species